AAAAUGCACUGCAUUCUUUAUGUAUUUUCCCCAUCAAAACACGUCUGUUUCGUUCUCUUUUAAAGGGCAUUCAUGAGUCAUCCGGCAGGAACAAAGAAGCUUCAGUCUGAAAGUUCCACGGGGAAACGGUUUCAACAGUGUGGGCUCGCAAGGUUUUCUGAAAUCUGAACACACGCCUCGAGGUGCCCCUAAGCACCUGAUAGCGGCUGUUCUCUCCUGACAGCUGGAUUCCAAAUGUAAACACUGUUUGUCUGAACGCGCCGCGAUCAUUUGCAUGCAGAUGUAGAGGCUCUGCGGCAGGGUGUGCUGGGAAGCAGCUCGAACACUCUUUCUGUUUGCGCCGUCUGGUAGGGCCCAGCGCGCGUUUCUGGACAGGCCCGUUGCGGUGUUUCCUAAGGAGCCGAGAGCCAGGCCAGCACCGCUUCUCUUCCCAGGGACAGCUCUCCGACUCGAACUCAGUCCCCGGGCCAUCCGAGCGAGGCGAACACCCUGACGGCCAACAGGGUGCAAGGGGAGGGGUGGGGGUGAAGUCCUACCACCCGCAGCCCGGGUCCAGACAUCCGGACGCCCGGCACCUGUGCCCCCACCUGUGCGGUCCGUCUGCACCCCCCUCUCAGCUCCUUGCACACCUGAGCCCACGAGCCUGCCCUGAAGUGCGCGUUGGUAGCAGAGCCGGGCGGGUGGCGAUUCGGGCCCAGGCCCCGCCCUGUUGAGCCACGCGACGAGGGUCUUGGUUCCUCUGUGCCCGAGUUUCAUCAGCUUCUCAAAGGGGAUGAUCACGUAACGAGUCUCCCUCGUGGGGUCAAGGCGAAGAUUCGAUGAUGUCACGCGUGUGAAGUGCCAGCCCGGCAUCUGACUCAGAUUGAAGUCUUUAACAGUAGGCACUGCCUCACUAAGUGGCCUGGGAGCAGAGUAUCUUGAAGCCAAUUCUGUGCCCAGAGAGCAUCCGCUGAAGGAAUGAAUGGCCUGGGUGGACCCUGCUUGCUUGACACGGGUUUUCCAAAAAUACUCUCCCAGGGCAAUGGAGUUCGGCCUUGGAUUCAGCUCCUUUCACUUUAGUUCAUCUCUCUGGAGCCCACUUGGGCAGCGCGGCUUGUUGGUGUUUGGUGUUAGGAUUGGCCAGAGGUGACAGUCAAAAUAUGUCGCGACUGGUGAGGCACAGGCACUGACCCACCUGAACAGCUGGCAAGACGAGGUCGGGCAAAAGGGCCGCUCGUGAUAAGGAAUCACGCCGUGUCCCCGGCUGUGGGUGCCUCUGAAUCGUGGUUUGUGGGAGCGCACGUCCCGUAAAGAUGGGAUUUGCUUCAUUGUCCCACACAUGCUGUUAACUCUGGCUGCCAACGGUUCUAAGACAGAGCGCCAAGAGUCUUCUCUCACGACCAGGCACUGGAUCAGCUCUGUGGGAUGACCCUCUUUCUUCCCUCCUAUAAGCGGACAUAUGGUACAGAGGAGAGAGCAGAUGUUCUGGAGCCCAAUGCAUGAACAUUGAAAUCCUUGCCCCACGACUGUGUGUGAUUUGGGGCAAAAUACUUAAAGCCCUUGACCCUCGGUUCCUUUUGUAUAAAAUGGAAAUAAUAAGUAUCUAACUCAGCAGUUAUGAGGUUUAAAUGAAAAGCAUGUAUGUAUAGGGCGUGGUGUGUGAUCGGCCUAUGGUAGUAUGAGCUCCCUCCUGCUCUGGUGGUGGGUGGGACUCGACAGUUUCACCGACAUGCUUCUUCUACUCUAAAACCCUACUGGCCCCACCACUGCAGGCCGUAAGUUCAUGGACACCAGGCGACUCCCAAGAACGUUCUCACACUUCUGUUUCCAUCACAGGGCCACCUGCAGGCUUACCAAGGGGCAACUGUUGUUCCCAAACCCGUUUAUACCGGUAGUGCCUGCUAUUCUAGUGAUACAGUGUAAUUACAUGCAAUGCAACCAAUAAAACACGAGGGUGUACAUA